GCUGGCCCUACACCGACUUGCCAGCACCCAUCCCCUCUCAGCCAGGGGAAUUCUGCCCAGUUUUUGAGGAAGCUACCAGCAAUAACGAUUCUUCCAAAAUGAAGACUUCAGCCAAUAAAGAGGGAGGCAUGCAGUCCAGGAAGCAGGCAAUCCCCACAGGAGGGAAGGAGAGGCACAGGGGGCCACUAGGCCAAGCUGGAGCAGGUCAGAAGCUCUGGGGACACCUCUUCACAAGGUUCUUGGAGCUUCUUGAUCUUUGAUGGUAGAAUGACACCCUUGUCUCUUUUCACUAGUUCUUCCAAGUUAUCCCAGGUGACAAUUUAACAAAUAUUCUACCAUUGGAUACAUGAUGGUCAACCCUUAAGCCAAUGCUACAAAUAUUAUUUUUUGUUGCAGCAGCACCCCAUGUUUGGUUAACCUUCUCUAUCAGUCAGGAGCAGCUAAGUUAUGCUAUAGUAACAAAUGAUGCCAAAAGUUCCAUCACUUGAAAUACCAAAAGGUUAGUUUUCAAUAUAUCAAAGGUUGGCUGGGGAACUACUCUGGUGGGUGAUCACCCUCAACCCAGCAUCCAGAUCAGUGGGGCAGCCAUUCUCUGGAACACUGACAGUCCCUUCUGUUCAUAACAGUCAUAAGGACUGUGCUACCCACAGGGAGCCAGGUGCAGACCCAUCAUGUCCCCAGAAGGCAAGGAGCUGAGCUAUUCAGUGAAGCAUUAACAGUUUCCACAAAACCUGUGACUUCUACAAAAUGUGACUUCUGAGGCUAUUGAGAAAACUGGCAAAGAGUUUGGGAUUGACUUAAUGGUAAGUAGAUAGAAAAUUAAAUGAACAGAAAAGAAGACAAGCCAGAGCUCCAAAGAAAACAAAAGGAAAGUCCAUUGUAGUUGACCAUUUGGCUCAGUUACAGGGGGCAUUUUCAUAAUAAGAGUAACAAACAUGGAGCAUUGAUCUAAUGAACUAUUCUAUAUUACUCUAGUGGGGCCUUUUGAGGAGUACAUGUGGGCAGAGGAGGCAAGACGAAAGGAAGCUAAGUCCACAUCUACAUAUGGGGAGAUAACCAACAGCAACCCAAACUGAAAGCCCAAGAGGUAGCAAUGUGAUCAUUCUGUGGUAGAUAGAGUUCCAAGAUGGCCCCAACCUUCCAGCCCCUGGUCUACACAUACCUCCUCCCAUGUAGUCAAACACUGAUGCAGGUGUUUCUGUGAAGGCAUUCUACAUAUGUGACCCAAAUCAGCUGACUUUAAGAUGGGAAGGUUAUCUGGUGGGCCUGACCCAGUCUCAUGACCCCUUUCAUCUAGGUCUAAGGGUCAGAGAUAGGAGGUCAGAGAGAUAGGAAGCAUGAGAGGGAUUUGAGGUGGGGAAUAUUUUGUGUUGCUGGCUUUGAAGAUGGAGGAAAGGUUGUGUGGCAAGGAACCUGGGUGGCUGAGAGUGGCCUCCAGAUGACAGCCAACUGGAACUGGGGACCUCAGCCCUAUGACCAUAAAGAACAGACUUCAACCACAAUCAUGUGAGCUUGGAAGAGAGCCCUGGGCUCCAGAGGAGAAUAUGGCCUGAGUGAUACCGUGAUUUUAGCCUCAUGAGAACCUGAGCAGAAAACCCAGCUGCACCAGCCCUGGACUUCCGACCUACAGAACUGCCAGAUCAUACAUGGAUGUUUAAAGCUGCUAAGCCUGUGGUAAUUUGUUACACCAUAGGAAACUCAUACACACCCCGUCUGAGUUACAGAAAUAAUCAGGGAAGAGAGGCAAGAGGGAUUGUCUCUGGGGAGGGGGAAUAAAGGAAGGAAGGGAAGUUAAAGACUGCUGUGUUUCAUAAUAAACCCUGCACCUUUAAGGUAGCUACAUGUUUAACUUUGAUUUAAAGAAUAAUCACAAUUAAAAGGUUUAUCAGAGACUACCAGCACCCAGCUGCUACAGACCGAAUGCUUGUGUCCCACCCUGCCAAAUUCAUAUAUUGAAAUCUACCCCCACCCCCACCCAUAGGAAGGUAUUAGCAGGCGGGGCUUUGAGAGGUGGUUAGGUCAUGAAGGUGGAGCUCCCGUGAAUGGGAUUAGCACCUUUACAGAAGAGACCCCAGAGAGCUCCUUUGUCCCUUCUGUGUUGUGAAGACACAGUGCUUUGUGAAGUUCCUAUCUGUGUACCAGGAAGUGUGUUCUCACAAGACAUCAAACAGACUAAGACACCAACAAGAUCCAUCCCCAAUUUCUAUACCAGUGACUGACCACAUUUCCCACACAACUGUGCAGUCGGCCAGGUAACCGAGUUCUCCGUCUGGGAAUGUGAAUGGAGGGCUGUGGGGUUGCUUCUGCACUGGGGCUUUUAAGAGAGUGGGCUUCUGUCCUGCCUGUUCUCUUUCCCCUGCUGCCAAUUGGAUGAUUAUGACAACAAACCUCUUGGGGAUGAUGGAGCCCCCAAAUAGAAGAGACUGGGACCCAGAAAUCGGGCCGAAAGUGCUCUCCUGGAUGGCCACUGUAUUUCAGCCACAACAAUUCAGGGCCUGCCUGUUAUUGGAGCUUAGCUCAUCCUAGCUAAUAUAAAAGUGGACGUGAGAGCAAGGGAUGGAAGAAAAACAAGAAAACAAGGUGUACGAAGAAGGGGGCUUGGUCCCAGGCAAAGCGUGGGUUGUGCAUUGUGCUACUGUGUUAUUCUCUAGGGUUGCUUCUUGGUGGCAGUCAGGCCGUGGGGUGCCCGCUCUGGGCAUCGUCCUCCUACUCCUUCUUCCUGGGGCAGCCACAGCCUCUAAGUCCUGCAUCUACUCGGGGCCCUGGCCUGGAGCUGGGCUGAGGGUGGCUGGAGUUUAUCUAGGACCAUCUCAUGAUGUCCUGAUGCUUGGCACCCCCCACUCACAGAAGGCAAACAGUGUUCUCUUCAUCCAGCCCAGGGGCCACUCGUAGGCUCCCACCUGUCCCUGUCUCCUGACUUAAUCACAUUAUCAUAAAGAAUUGCUUGCGCCAAGGAGGACUUUGACCCUGAGGUUUUGCAGUCCUCAAG